ensembl:lncRNA
AUGUUCAUUGGCCACAGAGUUUAUUUCCUGCAAUAAUCCAAAACCAAUUUAAAAAAAAAAUUGUCAUUAGCUACAGACAGUUUCAUAAAACAGCACUUUAACAUGAAAGAAUUACUCUGAAAAGACCAAGACAGCAGUGCUUUUCACAAUAUUAUCUCAUUGAAAAGAACAAUAGAAAAUAUUUGAAGCUAUAAGGGCCAUAAAAAUACAUUCACGACUGGCCUCUUUGCAAACAGCAGUCAAUAAACCCUGUAAAACAUGUGUUCAUUAUAUGUGGUGACAUGACCCCAAGAGCCCUAUUAAUGUGUUUAUUUGCAUUGUCCAUUCCCAGAUCUUUGCCAAAGUGUGGGAAUUAUAUCGCUUCCCUUUAGAGUGACAUCUGUGGGAUCUUUCUCUGUUUCGACAUUUGAGACAAUCGUGUGGAACGCUGAGAUGUACAAUGAGAGAGAUGCUGGGAGAGAUAUAUGAUACUGUGAAGAACGGGCUAAUCUCCCUUCCAAUCUGUCUGGCUUUUUCCAUCCAUCGAUUUUUUUUUUCUGCAAAAAGCCUUACAUAACUUGGCUGAAAAACAACAUACAUAUAAUCUGUAUGUCACAGAUGUCACUGUAAUCUCAGUGUUUAUGAUCAGUUUCUAUAGGAGCCCAAAGCUUUUGAAGUCUACACGAUCUCUCACAAAUGAGCCUCAAUUCUGCUAAGCUAAUUAUAUUUGCUGUAUUUGCUACCUACUGUACUGCUAAACCCAUCCUCCCCGCAAGAGUGCAGUAAGAUAUAAAUUGGCUGCGUUUAGAUUGUUUAGCCAAUGGACCUUUUUCUCAUUUCCGGGUUUCUCACACAGACUGUAUAAAAACACGGACGUAGUGUCCGUGAUGUCACCCGUAGUUUUCUGAAGAGCGUUUUUGAAGCUCAAAGUGGGUGGAGCGGGCCGUUGCCAUCUUGGCAGCGCGUCACUCCCGGAUCAUCGAAAUGGGCAAAAAGGCGGAGCUGAAGCCACGGAUAAUUUAAACGGAUGAGUUAUAAAAAAAAUGUUGUCAUGAAGGGCAAAAUUAGCUAUAGACCAAAAUCAUUUUCUGAACCAGGCUGUAAACGUUUUUUUUUUCUGCUGUGAAGUUGGGCAUUUUAACAUGGGGAGUCUAUGGGAUUACUCUCUUUUGCAGCCAGCCUCUAGCGGCCAGUGGACGAAUUACAGUUUACGUCACUUCCGUGUUGGUUUCACGAGAGAGAGCGGGAGGUUGCCGCUUGGUUUCUCAGCAGGGUAGUCAUCCUAAUUGGGUUAACUUGAAGAGCAGUCAAUGGUAGAGUAGGCUACCACAAAUAUAUUUUUUGCAUUCCCAUUUGCUCAAAUAGCAAAAGAAAAACUCCACGAUAGUGUUUUCAUGACUUUCAAUAAAACGAAAAAAAAAUUGAGAGAGACUGAUAACGGCAGUCAGAAGAGAGAACCGUGUCAAAUUUACCAUUGCUCCCAUAGACGCUGCAUUAGAAACACUCUCGCAUGAGCGUUAACUGUUGUUUUUUUUUGUGUGUGUGUGUGUGUGUGUGUGUGUGUGUGUGUGUGUGUAAUCUGAAGCAAAGUUAUUAUAAUACAAUGAAUAGUGUUAUAAAUGUACAUGUUUGUAAAAAUACAGAUAUGAAAGACUUUUGAGGAUUUACCAUGCUGAUGACCGUUAAACACAUCAUCACAGUCCUGUGAAAAGGGUUCAUCAGAACACUUUUGAAGCGCUUUCUACCAGCCACCUAUUUGGCGUGUUUACAGCAGGAAGUCCAUAUUUGGGAUGCCGGAAGCUGAGAGCUGGUAGAUGAACUUGGAGCGGUUUUUACAAGUUUUGGGAGAGAAUGUUGACAGUUUCUCAUCUGCCAUACAGCCAAGCGUCUUAAAGAAUACAAAGACUAAUAACAUAAGUAAAGAGACCAGAAAGCGAGGGAACCAAAAACAAGGCGAGAAUGAACAUCGGUAAAGGAUAUCAUCGCUGGAAGAAGCACGUGCGUUUGCGUCACUUCUGACUGAAAGGCCACGACUUAACCAAGAUUCUUAACCAGCAAAAUGUCCUGCCAACCAUAGAUGAAUUUUUCUGGUCCAGCAAGAGGAACUCUGGCAACACUUCACAGCUCUGCUGAAAGAUGACUCUACAGCAGACAUGGAAAACUGUUUGAGUCAGAGGAGCGAAUAGAGGCCUGGAUGUUGCUCCGCACGCAUUUCUGCUUUGUCCCUGUCUGUCUCUGACCCAUUUCAGCUGGCCAAAUGACCCUUACACCCCAUCUGGUGAAGCUGCCAGAGGAAACAUGAGAAGCCUGUUAGCUCACUGGUGAUAAGCACUCCUGUGAAUUACCUUUGAUUGGCCCGUUUAAUCUGAGGGACAGUGUACUGUGGGGUCUAAAAGUCAGAGACCACUUUGGAAAAAACUAUGCUCUAUUUGUUAAACCUAGAAAUAAAAUAGAAAAUUUUAGGAUAGUGAGAAAUGUUGUGCAACUGACCACUUAUUUGUAUAGAAACGGCAUUCUGACAUUUUAAUGAAUUUUUAAUGUCAGAUGUUAUGCUUCCAAUAUAAUUAAAUAUAAAUCCACCCAGCAAUACAAUGCAAACACAUCAAUGUAGAUCUCUCUCUCUC